rnacentral:rRNA from 1 species
GAUGAACGCUGGCGGCGUGCCUAAUACAUGCAAGUCGAGCGAACAGACGAGGAGCUUGCUCCUCUGACGUUAGCGGCGGACGGGUGAGUAACACGUGGAUAACCUACCUAUAAGACUGGGAUAACUUCGGGAAACCGGAGCUAAUACCGGAUAAUAUAUUGAACCGCAUGGUUCAAUAGUGAAAGAUGCUUUUGCUGUCCCUUAUAGAUGGAUCCGCGCCGCAUUAGCUAGUUGGUAAGGUAACGGCUUACCAAGGCAACGAUGCGUAGCCGACCUGAGAGGGGGAUCGGCCACACUGGAACGGAGACACGGUCCAGACCCCUACGGGAGGCAGAAUAAGGGAAUCUUCGGCAAUGAGCGAAAGCCGGACGGAGCAACGCCGCGUGAGGGAUGAAGGUCUUCGGAUCGUAAAACUCUGUGAUUAGGGAAGAACAAAUGUGGAAGUAACUAUGCACGUCGUGACGGUACCUAAUCAGAAAGCCACGGCUAACUACGUG